GAUGAACGCUGGCGGCGUGCUUAACACAUGCAAGUCGAGCGAUGAAGUUUUCUUCGGGAAACGGAUUAGCGGCGGACGGGUGAGUAACACGUGGGUAACCUGCCUCAUAGAGUGGAAUAGCCUUUCGAAAGGAAGAUUAAUACCGCAUAAUGUUGAACGAUGGCAUCAUCAUUCAACCAAAGGAGCAAUCUGCUAUGAGAUGGACCCGCGGCGCAUUAGCUAGUUGGUGGGGUAACGGCCUACCAAGGCGACGAUGCGUAGCCGACCUGAGAGGGUGAUCGGCCACAUUGGGACUGAGACACGGCCCAGACUCCUACGGGAGGCAGCAGUGGGGAAUAUUGCACAAUGGGGGGAACCCUGAUGCAGCAACGCCGCGUGAGUGAUGAAGGUUUUCGGAUCGUAAAGCUCUGUCUUUGGGGAAGAUAAUGACGGUACCCAAGGAGGAAGCCACGGCUAACUACGUGCCAGCCGCCGCCGUAAGAC
rnacentral:rRNA from 1 species